GUGGGUGGAUGUGCAUGAGAGAGUGUAUGUUUCAGUAGGGGUGGGUGGAUGUGCAUGAGAGAGUGUAUGUUUCAGUAGGGGUGGGUGGAUGUGCGUGCGCGUGUGCUAUUUCUCUGGUUUAGAGCUUAAUUAUACCAGCCAGGAUGUUGGAGCUGUAAAUCCAACCGUCCGUCACAUACUAAUGACAUCACAGCGUCCUGUCUGCGACAUCACAGGGUCCUUCCUGUCUGUGACAUCACACCGUCCUGUCUGCGACAUCACAGGGUCCUGUCUGCGACAUCACAGGGUCCUGUCUGAGACGUCACAGCGUCCUGUCUGCGACAUCACAGGGUCCUGUCUGUGACAUCACAGCGUCCUGUCUGCGACAUCACAGGGUCCUGUCUGUGACAUCACACCGUCCUGUCUGCGACAUCACAGGAUCCUGUCUGUGACGUCACAGCGUCCUGUCUGUGACAUCACAGCGUCCUGUCUGUGGUGAUGAAUCUGGCUGUCUCUCUCUCUUCCUGUUUGUGUGUUUUCCCCCUCCACAUAUAUCUUUGUGAGCAAGCUGUGGUAAUUAAAGGUUUGGGGUUCUGUGAAUGAUAUUGGCUUUGUUUGUUCUUAUUCUUGUUUGUUGUAUUGCCUUUGAAUAAGACAAAAAUCAUUCAAAGGGCCUAUAAAAAAAGUUGUUAUAUCUGUAUUAUCCUAGAAUGUUUAUUUCUGUCUCUGAAUUAGUUUUGAGAAAUAAAAUAAAAAAUAUGGAAGAGACAGGAGAAUAGGUGAUCUCCCACAGUUGUAGAGUCACAUAUGACCAGCAGGUGGUGGCAAAAGAUCACAGUUGUAGAGUCACAUAUGACCAGCAGGUGGUGACAAAAGAUCACAGUUGGCAGUGCUGUAACAACUUGACCCCGUACAAGAAAGCAAAUUACAGACUCCUCUUUGAAUCUACGUAUUUCUCCAAAGCUCAGUUGUCCUGAGUCUGCACAACACUGCCAGGACCUAGAAUCAGUGGAGACACUCAAGUUUUUUAAUCCUAAAUCUCUUGACACAUUCAUGAAAAUUGUCAUGGCCUCUAAACCUGAAUACUGG
rnacentral:lncRNA from 1 species